AUUCAGCUGACGAGUCCUAAAUAGGGCGAAACGCACGUCCUGGAU
rnacentral:hammerhead_ribozyme from 1 species